UACGUAGGGUGCAAGCGUUAAUCGGAAUUAUUGGGCGUAAAGGGCGCGUAGGCGGCGCGGUAUGUCACCUGUGAAAUCUCCUGGCUCAACUGGGAGCUUGCAGGCGAAACUGCCGUGCUGGAGUGUGGGAGAGGUGCGUGGAAUUCCUGGUGUAGCGGUGAAAUGCGUAGAUAUCAGGAGGAACACCUGUGGCGAAAGCGGCGCACUGGACCACAACUGACGCUGAGGCGCGAAAGCUAGGGGAGCAAACAGG
rnacentral:rRNA from 1 species